CUGAUGGCGACCGGCGCACGGGUGCGUAACGCGUAUCGAACCUGCCCUAUACCCGGGGAUAGCCUUGCGAAAGUAAGAUUAAUACCCGAUGUUGCGGUUUUCCCUCCUGGGAUAUCCGCCAAAGGAAUCCGGUAUAGGAUGGCGAUGCGUCCGAUUAGGUAGUAGGCGGGGUAACGGCCCACCUAGCCGACGAUCGGUAGGGGUUCUGAGAGGAAGGUCCCCCACACUGGAACUGAGACACGGUCCAG
rnacentral:rRNA from 1 species